CAGGGCUGCUGUGAUAGUUCCAGAGAACCCAGGAUGAGGAGGGGGCAGGUGAGGCCACCGGAGGAUGGGCUUCAUUUGGGACAAGUUGAGUGGAUGACACCUGCAGAAAUCUGGCUAGAACAGGGGCUUCAGUGAGUGCGUGACAGAUGGAAAACCCAGACUGCUGAGCACAGUGGACUUGAAUGGAGACUGCUGGUGGCUGCUGGUGUAUGUGAGGCUGAACCUCUUGCAACUGCCAUCUUUACAGAUUGAGAACAGCCUAAUACUGGUUCCCUCCAGUCCCUGCUGCAGAUGCCUCCUCCCCACAGGAUCCUCGGAGUGAAAUUCUCAUCUCUCAUAGCCCUUGUUAGCUGCCGACUUCAGCCUUGUGUACCACCGAGACUUCUGGAAUGACACCACCAUUUCUUAGCUGGCUCCAAUGAUAAAGCCAGCCACCAAGAAGCACACUGUUGGGCACAACUGCAUUUUUAUAACAAAGUGGGCUUGCAGCUCUGGGGCCUAAGCAACAGAGGAAUGUGUGGACAAGUUAUGUUCCAUUCCUGCUCCCCAGCAGGGACUCUGUUACUGCUGGGACUAGGUCUGUUACAGUUUUACAAACAAGAAAAAGGGGCGUCUGGAUGGCAAUCCAUAAGAAUGGGUUGCCAAAGGCCUUAACUCCAUAUUCAGAGUCAGAAAACUUGAGUUCCUUCUGUUAAGACACUGUAGACCUUGGAGAAAGAUCCAUAACCUCCCCAAGACACAGCUUUCUGAUCUGUGAAAUGAGGAUAAUAGUGCAAAUCAAACAUCAUUCGAUGCAUAUUUAUGCAGUUGGUGCUGAUUAGAAAUAGAUUUGGCUCCUUUGACAUCCUGAAAUGACUGAAAUAAGGUAAGAGACACUGGUGAAGUCUAGCCAGCAACUUCAUAG
rnacentral:lncRNA from 1 species